rnacentral:ncRNA from 1 species
CAGAGUAAAAGAACACGCGUCAAGUGUCAGCCGAACGGGGAGUUGUCGGCGGAACGAAGGGUCAUCCCGCGGUGUGUUCUUUGCAUCCCGCUGU